GCCUGCCUGGCUCAGUCAGUAGAGCGCGUGGCUCUUGAUCCCGGGGUCGUGAGUUCGAGCCCCACGUUGGGUG
rnacentral:tRNA from 1 species